rnacentral:rRNA from 1 species
GACGAACGCUGGCGGCGUGCCUAAUACAUGCAAGUAGAACGCACAGUUUAUACCGUAGCUUGCUACACCAUAGACUGUGAGUUGCGAACGGGUGAGUAACGCGUAGGUAACCUGCCUGGUAGCGGGGGAUAACUAUUGGAAACGAUAGCUAAUACCGCAUAAUAUUAAUUAUUGCAUGAUAAUUAAUUGAAAGGUGCAAUUGCACCACUACCAGGUGGACCUGCGUUGUAUUAGCUAGUAGGUGAGGUAACGGCUCACCUAGGCGACGAUACAUAGCCGACCUGCGAGGGUGAUCGGCCACACUGGGACUGAGACACGGCCCAGACUCCUACGGGAGGCAGCAGUAGGGAAUCUUCGGCAAUGGACGAAAGUCUGACCGAGCAACGCCGCGUGAGUGAAGAAGGUUUUCGGAUCGUAAAGCUCUGUUGUAAGAGAAGAACGGGUGUGAGAGUGGAAAGUUCACACUGUGACGGUAUCUUACCAGAAAGGGACGGCUAACUACGUG